rnacentral:lncRNA from 1 species
GGGGAGCUCAGGUGCAUGCAAAGAACCUGAGUGACCAGAAUAGAUGGAGCCAGGAUCCACCCCUUCCUAGACCUCAUUUAAGAAUUGGCAGUGGAGAUAGGGGUGUUUUGCUGGAGGUUCCUCUCUCUUGUACUGGUGGCCUUCUAGAGGUGCAGAGAAAGAGAGGAUCUGAAGAUUCCUCAACCAAAAAAAAACGAAUGUGAGCCAAUCAGCCAGCCUACAAAAUUUGCUGAUGCACUCUUGGCAGAUCAACCAUGGGCAGAGAUUGAAGGAACAAGUAGGUGCUUCAGUAGUUCACUGGACCUAACUACAACUCCAUGGAGGGAAGAGCACCAUUCCCAGUGGGUUGUGGAGUACUGCUGAAAUGCCCAGAUAUUUUUGUCUCCAGUGCUCCAGAGAAUUACCUUGCCGACAGCAAGUCCAUCCAAAAUUCUCCCAUUACAUUCUUCUUACAACAUAAUUACUACAUUCUUGGAAAUGCACUGCAGAAAUGGAUGAUCAAGUGCAGCCUGAGGACUGGGUUGGAAAGAAAUGGAGUGAUGACAGAAAAGGAAAGUGGGAAAGAUAACUUUUAUUCUGUAUACAAUAAAUAAUACUGUGUUUACUUG